GAAAUGGGCAGGAUGAGAUCGGUGAACAUACCUGUUGUCCUCCACCUCUCUAGUGGAAGGAGGGAGUCCUCUGGAGUAAAGAUUAGUCUUUGCAUUGAGAAGCAGUUUAGCUCAGCCUACCUAAGUCAGCACUGGAGUGAUCUUCAGACAUUGGUCAUCUGAUUGGACACUUCUGAGAGGGAGCAAGAGGAACAGGAGUGCCUGGACACUGUGCCCUGAGACCCGACCUCCUGGCCAUGGUCCUACUGGCUUUG